rnacentral:rRNA from 1 species
AGUGAACGCUGGCGGUAGGCCUAACACAUGCAAGUCGAACGGCAGCACAGUAAGAGCUUGCUCUUACGGGUGACGAGUGGCGUAAGGGUGAGGAAUACAUCGGAAUCUACUUUUUCGUGGGGGAUAACGUAGGGAAACUUACGCUAAUACCGCAUACGACCUACGGGUGAAAGCAGGGGAUCUUCGGACUUUGCGCGAUUUAAUGGGCCGAUGUCGGAUUAGCUAGUUGGCGGGGUAAAGGCCCACCAAGGCGACGAUCGGUAGCUGGUCUGAGAGGAUGAUCAGCCACACUGGAACUGAGACACGGUCCAGACUCCUACGGGAGGCAGCAGUGGGGAAUAUUGGACAAUGGGCGCAAGCCUGAACCAGCCAUACCGCGUGGGUGAAGAAGGCCUUCGGGUUGUAAAGCCCUUUUGUUGGGAAAGAAAAGCAGCAGGUUAAUACCCGGCUGUUCUGACGGUACCCAAAGAAUAAGCACCGGCUAACUUCGUG